rnacentral:rRNA from 1 species
GUGACCUCAAAUCAGGUAGGACUACCCGCUGAACUUAAGCAUAUCAAUAAGCGGAGGAAAAGAAACUAACAAGGAUUCCCCUAGUAACUGCGAGUGAAGCGGGAAAAGCUCAAAUUUAAAAUCUGGCGGUCUUUUGGCUGUCCGAGUUGUAAUCUAGAGAAGUGUUAUCCGCGCUGGACCGUGUACAAGUCUCCUGGAAUGGAGCAUCAUAGAGGGUGAGAAUCCCGUCUUUGACAUGGACUGCCAGGGCUUUGUGAUGCGCUCUCAAAGAGUCGAGUUGUUUGGGAAUGCAGCUCAAAAUGGGUGGUAAAUUCCAUCUAAAGCUAAAUAUUGGCGAGAGACCGAUAGCGAACAAG